rnacentral:rRNA from 1 species
UCAUGGCUCAGGAUGAACGCUGGCGGCGUGCUUAACACAUGCAAGUCGAACGAUGAUCCUCAGCUUGCUGGGGGGAUUAGUGGCGAACGGGUGAGUAACACGUGAGUAACCUGCCCUUGACUCUGGGAUAAGCCUGGGAAACUGGGUCUAAUACCGGAUAUGACUCCUCAUCGCAUGGUGGGGGGUGGAAAGCUUUUUGUGGUUUUGGAUGGACUCGCGGCCUAUCAGCUUGUUGGUGGGGUAAUGGCCUACCAAGGCGACGACGGGUAGCCGGCCUGAGAGGGUGACCGGCCACACUGGGACUGAGACACGGCCCAGACUCCUACGGGAGGCAGCAGUGGGGAAUAUUGCACAAUGGGCGCAAGCCUGAUGCAGCGACGCCGCGUGAGGGAUGACGGCCUUCGGGUUGUAAACCUCUUUCAGUAGGGAAGAAGCGAAAGUGACGGUACCUGCAGAAGAAGCGCCGGCUAACUACGUGCCAGCAGCCGCGGUAAUACGUAGGGCGCAAGCGUUAUCCGGAAUUAUUGGGCGUAAAGAGCUCGUAGGCGGUUUGUCGCGUCUGCCGUGAAAGUCCGGGGCUCAACUCCGGAUCUGCGGUGGGUACGGGCAGACUAGAGUGAUGUAGGGGAGACUGGAAUUCCUGGUGUAGCGGUGAAAUGCGCAGAUAUCAGGAGGAACACCGAUGGCGAAGG